AUUUAACGCUGGCGGCAUGCCUUACACAUGCAAGUCGAACGGCAGCACGGGUGCUUGCACCUGGUGGCGAGUGGCGAACGGGCGAGUAAUACAUCGGAACGUACCUUAUCGUGGGGAAUAACGCAGCGAAAGCUAUGCUAAUACCGCAUACGCCAUGAUGGGGAAAGCGGGGGAUCGCAAGACCUCGCGCGAUUAGAGCGGCCGAUGCCUGAUUAGCUUGUUGGUGGGGUAAAAGCCCACCAAGGCGACGAUCAGUAGCUGGUCUGAGAGGACGAUCAGCCACACUGGGACUGGGACACGGCCCAGACUCCUACGGGAGGCAGCAGUGGGGAAUUUUGGACAAUGGGGGCAACCCUGAUCCAGCAAUGCCGCGUGAGUGAAGAAGGCCUUCGGGUUGUAAAGCUCUUUUGUCAGGGAAGAAACACCGGCUCUAACACAGUCCGGGAAUGACGGUACCUGAAGAAUAAGCACCGGCUAACUACGUGCCAGCCGCCGCAGUAA
rnacentral:rRNA from 1 species